CUACAUUUGUAAAUAGUAUUUCCAGUGUGCUUAAUUUUUAAAAUAUCUCCAUUAGCUAUAAUCAAACCUGAUUCUUUUGUCAAGAUAUCUUUUUCCCCAAGAUUUGCUUCAUCCAUGGUAGUGUGAUUUGUGCAGCUGGAAUCGACGUACAAGGCGGCAUUGGCAUUUGGGGCAUUCGAGUAUUUUGGCCGAUUUAUGUUGAACCGGCGUUCUGUUGAACGAGGAGUGGGAUACCUGUUAAUUUCAUUGUGUCUAUUGUAACAUACCAGAUCAGUGUGGCCACGUUUACCGCAAAUUUGGCAUACUACUUGCCCGGCGUUUGAAUCGAUAGUCGCGGUGUUUGAAGAUUUUGGCAGAAAUGGUUGUGCGUGAGCGAGGUUGGCCAAGGGAAGUUGCUG
rnacentral:lncRNA from 1 species